rnacentral:ncRNA from 1 species
GCACUCUGGAGACAUCCGCAUCGGCGGAGGCCGAAGGUGAAAGCGCAUCGCGCGAAUCUCUCAGGCAAAAGGACAGAGCAGG